rnacentral:rRNA from 1 species
AGUGAACGCUGGCGGUAGGCCUAACACAUGCAAGUCGAACGGCAGCACAGUAAGAGCUUGCUCUUACGGGUGGCGAGUGGCGGACGGGUGAGGAAUACAUCGGAAUCUACUUUUUCGUGGGGGAUAACGUAGGGAAACUUACGCUAAUACCGCAUACGACCUCCGGGUGAAAGCAGGGGAUCUUCGGACCUUGCGCGAUUGAAUGAGCCGAUGUCGGAUUAGCUAGUUGGCGGGGUAAAGGCCCACCAAGGCGACGAUCCGUAGCUGGUCUGAGAGGAUGAUCAGCGACACUGGAACUGAGACACGAUCCAGGCUCCUACGGGAGGCAGCGGUGGGGAAUAUUGGACAAUGGGCGCAAUCCUGAUCCAGCCAUACCGCGUGGGUGAAGAAGGCCUGCGGGUUGUAAAGCCCUUUUGUUGGGAAAGAAAAGCAGCAGGUUAAUACCCCGCUGUUCUGACGGUACCCAAAGAAGAAGCACCGGCUAACUUCGUG